rnacentral:rRNA from 1 species
GUCCGGGAGUGGGGGAUAGCCCGGCGAAAGCCAGAUUAAUACCGCAUACGCUCUAUGGAAGAAAGCGGGGGAUCUUCGGACCUCGCGCUCUCGGAGCAGCCGAUGGCGGAUUAGCUAGUUGGUGGGGUAAAGGCCCACCAAGGCGACGAUCCGUAGCUGGUCUGAGAGGACGACCAGCCACACUGGAACUGAGACACGGCCCAGACUCCUACGGGAGGCAGCAGUGGGGAAUUUUGGACAAUGGGGGAAACCCUGAUCCAGCCAUGCCGCGUGUGUGAAGAAGGCCUUCGGAUUGUAAAGCACUUUUGUUCGGAAAGAAAUGCCUUUGGGCUAAUACUUUGCGGGGAUGACGGUACCGGAAGAAUAAGCACCGGCUAACUCCGUGCCAGCAGCCGCGGUAAUACAUAGGGUGCAAGCGUUAAUCGGAAUUACUGGGCGUAAAGCGUGCGCAGGCGGUUCGCUAAGACGGAUGUGAAAUCCCCGGGCUCAACCUGGGAACUGCAUUGGUGACUGACGAGCUAGAGUAUGGUAGAGGGUGGUGGAAUUCCCUGUGUAGCAGUGAAAUGCGUAGAUAUGUGAAGGAAUACCAAUGGCGAA